AGAAAAAGAGAAACAAGCAUCAAAAACUGAAGAUCCCAAGAAAGAAGAAAAUAUUACAGACAAGAAGAAACCUGGGCAGAGAUUCUUUCAGUGCGUUUAUGUCCCUGGCAAAAAUGCCCAGUACCCUUUACGACCUUUCACUCCAGCCAUGUCCCCCACCAUGAUGUCUCCUGCACUCAGAGCCAUGUUGGAGCAGCAAAGAGCAGCCAGGGCGUCUGGGCAGUAGGACCACCUGAAGCCUUUCUUUAUAUCUGACAGCACUGCAUCUUUCCAUCCAGCAGGGGGAGGUGUUUGAAUCUGUGCUAGCUUUACAUUAAGAGGAUGAUCACAGAGAGAGGAAAAAAGUGGACAGACUUACUUUGUCUUUAAUUUAUUGAAAUAUUCUUUUAGUGGUUGAGCUCCUGGGGUUGCUGUUAAUAUUGCCCAUUUUACCCUCUGCUUAUGCUGCUCUUCUAUGUCUAUGUUCAGUAAGAAAAAUGCCAUCUUGUGAAUAUUUUAAUUAUAAAUAGUAUUUAUAAUGUACAUAAUGCAUGUUUUUAAUUUAGAAUGGGAUAAAUGGGUUACAACUUAGGAUGUAAUAUAAAAAGCUGACUUUUGUGUUGCUUUCUCUAUGAUGCCCGUUAUCAGAUUUAACAGUAAUUUAUUUAAUUUAAGGCAGUUUAGUUUAUAUCCAAGCAAACACUUAUACUCUAUUAAGACAAGCUUUUAUUGUCUUAAACAGCUUUGAAUGGUUUAUUUUCAAAGUCUAAGAUUAUUUGCAACAGGAAAAUAUAUUACAUUGAAUUAUAUACAUAAUAUAUGUUAAUGGUAUCAAACCCAUGCAAAUACAUUUCACAAAAUACGAUUUAUUUGAACAGUAUUUUUUUCCAGUUUUCUAUAUAAAUAACUGCAUUUUCAGUUCCUGUAACCAUGCCCCGUGUUUGUUUCUGCUGCUUUGCUGCAUCUGCAAUAGAACAGAAUCCAAAUGUUGGAGGGUCAAAUCCCAGGAGCUCCCACACUGAUCUGAGCAGCAUCCCUGUCACUGAACAUCCAUCAGCCUCAUCAAUCGUAGGCGCAUGCUGUGACUGAUGCACACAUAUUUCUUGACAUAUUAAGAACACAUCUAGCAUGAAACUGUUGGCCAUUUACCUUUCACUGCUAAUGUUUUUUUUUGUUUGUUUGUUUGUUUUUGUAGAGGUUCAUUUCAAUAUGUUACAUGCCACAUUUUAAUUUUAACUGACUCCAAUCAAAGUGGUGUAUUGGAGAUACUAGGGUAACCAGAGAAUGGCAUAGUAGAUGAAUAAAAUAUAGAAGAAUCUGAAAAAAUAAAUAUUUUCUAACAUUUAAGAGGCACUGAAAAGAUUUGUUUAUCUCUAUGAAUACAAACUCAAUAAUGCAAUGCAGUCUCAUUGCACAUAUCAAAGCUCCAAAAUUAAAUUUGGAUCCAAUUAAGAAACAUAUUUAAAUGAAACAUAUAGGUAAGUAAGAAAAGGGGGAUAUAAUUUUAAAAAAAAAACAUUUUUUUGUGUAUAUACAAUAAUUAUUAAAUAGUCUAGGUUCUCUGUGUAACUUGAAGCAGCUUAUAUGUGGGACUAUGGGCUUCUCGGUGGUGGUUUAUUGGCCAUAAAGGAUAUGAGUAUGCAGCAAAAUGUUUUUGUUGCGCCUCAUUAGGUUUAAUAAAUUCAGAAAACCUCGUUUUGAUUUGUUUUCCUUUUAAAGCCAAAGAUUGCAAUGCUGUGCUUUUAUCUUAAAAAUGAAGUGCAAUUCCUGGAUAGUAAAUGUCUUGUAAUUAUGUGUUUUAUCACAGAUGACCUCUAAUUACUUACAAAUAUCAGCUCCUUUAACUCAUCGUGUUCAGAGGCAGGGACAACUUUGAUGUGACCAACUCAUGAGACACUGUGAUGUCUGCUACACUGAAUGAAUGUCAUUUGUGUUAACCAUCAGCUUAUUUAUUAAGUCUGAUCUUGUCAUAUUUCUUUUUACCUCAGUCAUUCAUAGCUCUGGUUUUGUGCCUUAUAGCAACAUGGCUGCCUUGUUGACGCUGCCAAACUGUUGCCGAGCAUCACCAGUGAUUGCUGUUGCCGUCUUACUGAAUGAAAACUUGAUGCAAAGAACCAAAAAAGGUGUUUUUACGCUGGGCUUAAUCCUGGGAUAUGACCCACCCUUGCCCAUAUUGUGCUGUCACAUUCACCUUUUAACAGAGUGAGUUCCUAAAGACAGACGAAUCUACUAGUUUUUAAUAGCUAGUUCGUGUUUUAAAAAUGCUUUUGACAUAUUGUUGCAUUUUUACCAUAUUAUGACCCUGUGGAUUGAGCUACAUCAAUUAUUAAAAAGUUGUUUUUUUUUUUGAGGUAUGGCAGUGAAGGGGGGCUCAACCAGAGUUUCUUGAACUUAUGAGGGCCAGGGACCUCUUAGAGGGGUGAAAGUUUUCCAACGUUCCCCUCAUAAUCCACAUUUAAAGCAGUUAAGAUGCUUUGAUCUUCGUGUUACUUGUUGCCGUGGACUGAUUCAGAUAUUUCCCUAUGCUAGCUUGCUAGCUAGUCAUCUAGCUAAUAUGCCAAACUAUGCAGCAGAACAUUUCUGCUGUCCUUGAGUGUAGUUACAGAGUUUCUACCAAAAUGACUCAAUGCACCAUAUUGAUAUCAGACUCUCUAUUAACCCAAAGAAAACCUUGGGGAUAGAAAAGGACUCAAUAUAUAUUCAUACUUUUUUAAACUGUGAAAUUGUUACCUUUCAUUAAAAUGCACUUUUAAUGAUGCUGCACAGAUUAUACAAUUUAAUGCAAAUUAUUUACAGACCUCUUGGCUAUGAGAUAUCAACCGCAGCGCCGACUCACCAUUGUACCUACUAUUCCCAACUGUGUUUUUUUUAAAAGCCUUAAACUGUAUUUGGUGACACUGAAUUUAGAGGUGAGUUUAGAGAAAGUUACUUGAAAACUUCUGUUUAAAUUUUGCAAACUAAAAAGAGUCAUACUUCAGUUUUAUAACAUAAUUAGAAUAUUUUUUUGUUACUUUUUAAGAGUUAGUUCUAAAUAAAGUGAUGUUUACUGAUAUGGACUGAAAACUUUCAUCACUUGUUUUGCCAAUAAUCUGUUGCCAAAGAUUGCACAGUGGCCAUUUUGACUAAAACGAGUGUGUUGCAACAUUAAAGAAGGACCUGCCCCUUUUAGGUGAAAGUCCAUAAUUUUGGUUUCUGGACUUUUUGUUUGUUUUUAUUUAGUUUAUUUCAUUUCAUUUUUCUUUAUUCCUGAGUUUAACAGAACAUUGAAUGUAAAGUUUUUUGUAAACUCUAAUUUUAUAAACAAGUCUGAAGUGAAGUGUAUCCCUGAGGUUUCAGUAUUACCCUCCAGGGGUGAGGUCAGCAGUCCUGAAGUGGUAAGGAAGCCUAAUGAGAUCUGACAUCAUGUACUGCUGCAACUGACUGUAGGUGUUGUAAGUGUUAGUUGGAGUAAGUUAUUACCUUAAAAUGUGGUUUUUACUGGUGUUUUGAUUAAUCAUAUUCCAGAAGGGCAUUUCAGCAGUAGUCUGCUUGUGCCUCAUAUAAAAUGAACAGUAAUUACAGCAUAAACUGUGGCUAUGUGCUGUAAUUAUGUUUUAAAGUGUUAUUAACUGUAAUUUAACGUGAGCUAAAUCGUGAUCUCAUACAAGAAAACAAACCAGAAGGAACACACAAAAACAUCAGAGCUCUAUCUAAUGUAACUCCAGGUUCUUCAUACAUAUUCAUGUGAGCCUACAGGUGUAAGGCUGAGUUCAACUUGACUACUCUACAUCCCUGAUUAUGUUUUAAGUACAUGCGUUUGGAUGGUGUUGUUAAAAGCAAGUGAUCUGCUUGAUCUUAUGCAUGUUUUUUUUCUGAAAAGCUGUAGUGCAACACUUACACUUUUGCUUCACUGUAUUUCACUAUGAUGUGUUGCUGUCAUAUUUGUCUUUCAUUCUUUUAUUGGUUUGUAGUUAUCUGAAACCACAGACAAUCUAAUUGAUCUGCGAUCUCCAAGCAGAAUAAAAAAUAGUUGGCUUUCUUGUAGAUGCUUCAUCUGGGAUUGGAGUGCAGUUUAACACUCUUUAAAAAAGUUUAAUUCCACAACAUACAGUUUGAGGUUGUUUUGUUUUGGAAGGAUAUAUUUUGUUAACAAAUUGUAAUAUUUUCUGCAUGAUAAUGUCAUUUAUUUAAAUUCAAGGCUGCUUUUUUGUAACACACAAGUAAGACUGCAGUGUCACAAAAAGCAGUCACUCUGGUGCUGUACAAAUACUGUAGAUAAUAGUUAAUUUCUUAUCAUCAUGAGACUUGUCACUCCAUUAGUUCUCAAAGAUAAUAAUAAAUUAGUUAACACGUUUGGUCAAAAAACAGUUUUAAAUGAAAGAUGUUUUUUUGUGCUUUAUCAAAGAUGUAUGAAAAUGAUGUUUCAUUCAGAGAAAGUAUGAACUACCUGCUGCAUGUACUAUAAAGCAGAUGUGUUUAAUUCACUCGGUCACUUUCCAGAAGCCAGUUAAGUGUCAUAACUGACAUUUCAAGCUAUAAUAUCAUUGGAGGGACAACACUGAGUCUGCUGUGCUUAUGUAGGAAACUUUUACCACUAUGCAGUUUUUGUGUCAAAACGUGAAUAAACUUUUGAAGAUA